CGAAACCUAACCCAUUUCCCCUAAGCCGCUGCCCUAAAACAUUCUCAAUCCUCCGCUUCUUUCUUUUCUGAAACCCUAAUAGCCCCCUCCUUUAACUCUCUCCGAUUCCUACCCCAAAAUAGAAUGAAUGCAUUAUUCCCUUACCUUAUACGUUCUGUCAUCUUGUUACUUGCACGACUUGAGCAUCACCUAGUACUUGCCUAUUUUUGGAAAGCACCUGGCCUUGAUUUAUGAACAACCAUCCUCAAUCUUCGAGACAUGUGGUAUUUUAUCUAUAUGUACUCACCACCGGGUUGUAUGGGUCCGAUUUACCAAGAUCAUCGGCCAAUCUUUGAUUUAUGUUGAACUAGGGUUUGAAAUUCCAAGUUUUUUCUUUAUUGGUUCUAUUAUCGAUUACAUGUGAUUUUCUUUACUUAUUUGUAUUUGAUUAAUUAUUUUCCAUGUUACUCGCUUGAUUCUACCACUAUAUAACCCUUCGCUAGCUUCCCCUUGGGAGUGACCGAAUUAUUACUUCUAUUACUUUCACUAUUCUCUUCUUUUACUCGUUCACUUAUUUUGAUACAGUUGAAUAUUUUUUGAAACUGUUGAAUUCUGGGCUGGCUAUAAGCCAAUGCCAUAAUACUAUUGAAACGACCUUCUCCGAUGCAAGCACUACUCGGAGCCCUUCUCGAAGCUAUCGUCAACUCUGAAGCAUCGGCGAUUUGGCGUUCCAUUGUCUUCUUUCAAUUGAUGUUACUGAAUCACUAUUGAUAUAUUAAAUUCCUUACUCUUUUGCUCAUUUAACUUUGCUACUGGUUAGUGUCUUUGACUCUUACAAUUUUAACUAUCUCCCUUUUUGUUUGUCUAUGACAUGUGUGUUCUGUGUGCCAAUGUUGCUUAAACUUUUUGUAACUAAGCAUGAUUCAGUUUUUCUUGCUAUUCGUGGAUACCUAGUAUUGUGUUAGUGUAUUCCUUACUGCAAUUAUAUUGUCUUCAAAAUUCCCUGCAGUUCUACAUUUUCUAGUAGUUGAAUUCAAUAGGCUUAAACAUAUGUAAUAUGCUUCUAGGUAUAGAUUCUAAUCUUAUUAAGUUCUACUAAACUAAUGUGUGUUUCCUACCUUGUCAUGUAUCUUUGUGUCUGUGUUUCAGACCUUUUUGAGUUAUUCUCUCCUAACAUGAUAAUUUUCUAAGUUUAUAUUUAAUUAGCUAAGGCAUGUUUCCAUGCCAUUUAAGUUCUAAUAUAUGUUUGAUUUGUUAAUCUUAUGUCUUUAGAAUUGAUUCUAGAGCAAAUUUCUAUGUUAGCUUCUCUCAUAUCUGGGUAAUUGGUAUGAGUGGUUAUGCUUUCCUGACCUAUUCCUCUUAAGUGAUAUAUAUUUUCAUGAAUUUUGACAUUGUUGUGGUCUGUUGUAGACCAUGCUACUAGCUUGUUGUUGUACUGCUUGUGAUCAUGUUAGGCUCGCAUGUUAUAAAUCAUCACGUGAAAUUUCUAUCCCUCUGACUAUAAUUACUAUGAAUAAGGCUCACUUGUCUAAAGACUUUCUCACUAAUUCUUACUAAUAUCUCGUGCUAAACUUGAUUUCUGGAAACUUUGCAUGUGUAUGUAUGUUUAACCUAUUAACUCAAUAGACCUGCUUCUUAAGCUCUCCUAAUGUGUGACUGUGUUCAGCAUGCUAUUCUCUUUCCUUUGUUGAAUUAUUUCUCAAUAUGGUGUCAGUUUUCUAUGCCAAACUUGCUAUUGUUGAAGCUGUCCACCUAUUUGGCAUGUUCAAGCCCUCUUGUUUGAACAAUCUUCUUCUCUUAGCUUCUACAAAGUGAUGAUAUGUUUAUGUAAUCAUGUCCCUAUGAGGCAUCAGUGUUAAUAGACAUUAGAUUUGUCAAUUGGUUUCCAUUUAUGGUUCCUCCAUCUAGGCCUGGUACGAGUUCAUGUAUGGCCCCAGGUUGUGCAAUUGAUGCACUCUCACGUUUGAGGUGCGCUUGGAUCUGGGUCUACUAUUUGUAUGAAAAGUGAGCUUGCUGAUAAUUAGUAAAAGAGGGGGAAUAUGGUACUAUAAUUCUCAUGUGAAUGGAUAUAAAACAUGCUUAUAUGAUCUAUGUUGUCUAUUUGAUAUUUGCUUUACACGCUUUUAGUUUCAUGUGCAGAAAGUAUGCCGAUAGGAGUCAUGUGCACACACCUCACUUAACUUGUCAAAACAUGUUAGUUCAAGUAUAUACAUGUUUCCACGUCUACUAACGUAUGCACUUAAACAACAUGCCUAUAAGAUGUGAUAUCACAUGCUUUACUAAUCAAGAUACCAUAAUAAUAAGAUUUCAAAUAACCGAUAGGUGAAAUUGCAUCUAUUACUUUAGUACACUGCCCCACCUAGAUAGCAUGUCUAUAGGAAUAAAUUGUUAUAAAAUCAAUUUAAUUAUCAAUUGUUAGAAAUCUUGCCUAUAGAAUGUUACGCACAUAAGACUAUUUAUGAGGUCAAUAUUGUUAAUACUAGACCAUCAAAGCUGUAUCACUAACUAAUCCCGACUAUUAGGAACCAUGCCUAUAGGACAUAAAUGUCUGCCUGAGGUGCAAGCUUAUAAAAUCAGCAUUAGUAAUCUGGUCACUCGUAUUGCUUUAUUGCCUCACCAACAGUUAGAAAUCAUGCCUAUAGGACUUGCAAUGCUUUAACAUGCAUGUGCACUACUUAUAUAAUACUGGAAAUCAUAAUCACGUAGAAUUCCUGCCUAUAGGACUUAACGUUUGUACUUUCGAUCUAAGAAAUCUGUGACUGAUCGUGCUCUUUUAUGCAUAUGUGUGGAGGCUAACUUGAGCUUUUUAUUGCUAUUAUGUGAAACCCUACCUGUUUUUAGUAUCACUUAGUUGUGACGAUCCGGUCGGUCAUCUUAAUAAUUUACACCUCGAUCCCUGAUUAACUGCUUUUCCCAAGUUUAUUUCUGCUUAUUUGAUGUGCAGGGACAUUUGGUUUUGAGUUUCCGAAAGUUUCGGGACACUUAGUCCCUAAUCAAGAGCUUAAGUGUUGGAAAGUUUUUCUUAGUCAGAAAAGUGUGAAGAUGGUCUCGGAAUGGAAAUUCAGUGGUUCUAUUAGCUUUGUUAGGUGAUUUCGGGGUUGGGAGCGUAUUCGGAAUGUAUUUUGGAGGUCUGUAGCUAAUUUAGGCUUGAAAUACAAAAGUUUGAAAUUUUGAAGUUUCGUUUUGAUAGUUAGAUUUUGAUCCGAGGGCCGAAAUGGAAUUUCGAAAGUUGCAGUAGCUCCAUCAUGUCAUUUGGGAUGUGUGUAUAAAAUUUCAGGUCACUUGGACGUGGUUUGGUUAGUUUUUUUAUCGAAAGUGUGUUUUGAGAGAAUUUGAAGUUCUUAGGCUUAAAUCAUUUGCUAAUUUGAGUUUUCGACGUACUUUUAGGUGGUUUAAGAAUUGGUACAAGUUUAAAUAAUGUUAAGGGAUAUGUCCAUAGGUUUGGUUGAGGUCCCGGGGGCGUCCGGUGUGUUUUGGAUGCUCAACGGAGCAUUUUGGAGUUGCAAAAAAUUGUAGAAAAUCCUCAGCUGUUGCAGACCAAUUUCCUUCUUCGCGUUCGUGCCACCUCUCCCGCGUUCGUGAAGCUCUAUCCUCUUCCUCGUUUGCAUUCGCAUGAAGCCUGCCACAUUCGCUAAGCUUCAUCUUUUCUCCGUUCGCGUUUGCAGCCAAAUCAUCACAUUCACGUAGUUCUAUUAUGGGUGUUAAACAGUCCGGGUUAACCUGGUUCCAGGCCGGCCCAGACCGGUUGAACCCGAAAUCGGCCCUACCAGUUAGAAGGGGCUGGGCUAGGCUGGGCAGGGGAGUUAGGAGGGUUGGUCUGUUUAUUUUUUUGAAAAAGGGUAACCGGCUCGGUUGAAACUUGUGGGCCACAAUGACCGUUGGCAACGGUCAGACCUUGAUUUGGUUCGUUAGCCAACGGAAAUAUUGCAUAAAUAGCCUUUUUAAAUUUUUAAUCCUUUUUCAAGUUACAAAACUAACCUUCUCUAAAACUAUAAAUACCCCCCGGGUAACCGGACCGGUUGAACCCGGAAGAGUGAACAGUAACUCUUGCAGGGUUAACCGGCCCGAUUCAAACGGCUAAUUCAUUUUUUUAUUUCAAAAUUUGUGGGCCCCACUGACCAUUGGCAACGGUCAGACCUUGAUUUGAUCCGUUGGCCAACUGAAAUAUUGCAUAAAUAGCAUUUUUUUAAUUUUUAAUCCUUUUUCAAUUUACAAAACUAACCUUCUCUAAAACUAUAAAUAUCCCCCCUCCCCCUUCUCUUCUUCAUUUCUUCACUCAAUACUGAUUUCUCAAUCUCAAUUUCUCUCAUUCUUCAAUUUUCACGAUUUCAAGUCUCAAUCUCAAAUUCUCAAUUCUCAAUUCUCAAUUCAAGUUAAAUCAUGCCUCGUACUUCUAGAAUGCGUUCAUAUGUAUGGGAACACUUUGAGGCGGUAGAAGAGAAUGAAGAAGGUUAGAAAGUAAAGUGCAAGAACAGUGGUCAAGUAUUAAAUUUUCGUUCAGAGUCUGGCACAGGCAGUUUAAGGAGGCAUAUAAAGUAUUAUCUUGAGCGUCCUCCGGAAAUUCGUAUUUAAGAUUUCUCGAUAAUUUGUGUUAUUUUAAAAUUAUUAGACGUAUUUAUACUGAAUGUUUUAGUUUGUUAAAUGAGUAAGAAUUUUUGAAGUAUUAUUAAUUUAUUAUGCAUGAAAAUUUAGUUUUACUAUUUUUUUGUUAAUUUACUUUUUAUUUAUUAUGCAUGAAAAUUUAAUUUUACUAUUUUUUUAUUAAUUUACUUUUUAAAUGCAAACUUUAAUUUUGAAUGUUGAAGUAAAUGUAGCACUUGCAAUUUAUAUUACUACAAAGUAUUAAUAUAACUUGUGAUAUUUAAAUUAAUACAAAGUAUUAGUAUAACUUAAAAUAGUUAUACAAAAUACAAAAAAAAUUAAAAAAUACACUAAAUCUGGCCCGGCCUGGACCCUUUAACCCCUAACCCGUAACCCUUACGGUUCAAUUUUUACCCGGAUGAACCCGAACUCGUUAAACCCAUUAAGCCCCAACCCGUAGCCGGCACGAACCAUAACCCGUACGGGUCCAAAAAAUAGAAACCCGGCCCGGCCCAAUCAACCCGUUUAACACCUAUGAGUUCUAUUUGGCUCCAAGGGCUGGGCCUAUUUACUUCAUCGCGUUCGCAUUCCCUGUGCCGCGUUCGCGUUGCUUUGUUAGCCCAGGCUUCGCGUUCACGUGCUGUUCCUCACGAUCACGAAGAGCAUUUUAGCAGCCUUUAUUUUCCUUCUUUGCGAAUGCGUGACCUUCUCCGCAUUCGCGAUGCAUUAAAUACCUGGACACUGAAGUUAUAAAAUAUUUCAUCAGUGAUUUGAGUCUUAUUUUCCACCAUAGCUAAGCAUUUGAGAGCUUCUUUGAGGGAGAUUCAAGAGGGAAUCAAGGAAAAAUGAUUGGAGGUAAGAUUUUUGAACCUAAAACGUGAUUCUAUUGUGACGUUUACCUAGAAAAUCAUGGAAUUUAACUGAAAAGGGAAGAACUAGGGCUUGAUAUUUUUAAAUUGUAAUCUGGGAUUUGCGAGGUCAUUUGAGCUUCGAUUUUUGUGUUAUUGUUAUGUAUAAACUUGUGAGAGUAUGAGGUGUCCAAAAAUAUAAGUUUAUCCCGAUUCCGAGACAAUGUCUUGAGGGGCAUUUUGGUUAUUUUACCUAAUUUCACGUCUUAGCUUUGAAUUAAAUAGUAGAAUCAGUUGUUUGAGAUGUUAUUUACGAUAUGUAAUUGAAUUGAAUAGAUUUGGGCCAUUCGGAGCCGGAUCGAGGUAAGUGGCUUGUCUAAUAACGAGUGGGGGACUUCUUCCCUUAGGAUAUGAUAUUUGGUAAUUGAAUUGCCUUGUGCGUGAGGUGACAAGUGCGUGCUUGCGCAAGUUGUUGUAAAAUCUGAUUUUUCUUAAAGUAUUCCUUAGCAUGUCCCUUUUCCCUUGCUUUACUGUAAUUGCAGAUUUAACAUGUUGUUAGUUAGAAAAGCGUGUUUAGUUGACUUAAAUUACCUAUUUGCUUAAACUGCGUUAAUUGCAUUACGUGCAACAUGUUAGGAUAGAAUUGACUGUUUACUUAUACGAAGUUGGCCUUUAAUUUAAUAUUCGUGUGCCACUGCUGUUUAUUUUAAAUUGGAACUACAGAAUGGCAUUCCGGGAGAUCCCCUGUAUGGUAGUUAUGAUUUGGACUGAGGUGUGGGAUACUAAGAGAUCCCUGACAUUUAUAUUGAGGAUACCAAGAGAUCCUCAGGAUACCACAAGAUCCCUGACAUUUAUAUUGAGGAUACCAAGAGAUCCCUGACAUUUAUAUUGAGGAUACCAAGAGAUCCUCGGGAUACCAAGAGAUUCUUGGCAUUUAUAUUGAGCAUACCAAGAGAUCACCGGGAUACUAAGAGAUCCAUGGUUAUUAUUAUUCUUGUUGGGAGCAGUCUGUCAUUAUAUUGAGGAUACUAAGAGAUACUCGGGAUACCAAGAGAUCUAUAUUGAGGAUACCAAUAGAUCCUCAGGAUACCAAGAGAUCCAUGAUAUUUAUAUUGAGGAUACCAAGAGAUCCUUGGGAUACUAAGAGAUCCCUGGUCGUUAUUAUUCUUGUUGGGAGCAACAUUUCCUUGUGUUUUGCCUUUAUUUCUGUUUUUCUGUUCUGGUACUCUUAUUAUCUAUAUAAACUCUUGCUAUAGAUUCUCAAUUAUACUGUUUAUCUUAUCCUGUCAUUAUUAAUUUCAUUUUAACUCAGUAGGGCCCGACCUUCCUUGUUACUACUCAACCAAGGUUAGGCUUGGCACUUACUGAGUACUGCUGAGGUGUACUCAUGCCCCUUCUGCGCAUAUUUUUUUUCAUGUGUAGAUCCAGGUACCUCAACCCAGGCAUAUUAUCCUCGAGGCGGAGAGAUCUAGAAGAGAUUUCAAGGUACAUCUGUUGCAUCCGCAAACCGGGAAUCUUUAUCUUAUUCUAGAUUGAGCAGUUAGCUUUUCUUUCGUACUGUUGUUUUAGACAUUCUGAAGUUAGAGCAGUGUAUCACAUUUUGUUAGCUUGUGUUCUCGUGAGUUUUUGGGUUUUGGGAUAGCAUUGUAGUAGUUGAGAUAUUGAGUCGUAUAUUCCAAACGGCAUCUAUAUAUAGGUUUUCUUCUAGUUGUUCAGUUUUAAGUUAUUAUAUUACACAAGUUAUAAUGUUUUCGCAUUGUUAGGCUUACCUAGUCAGAGGGAAUAGGUGUCGUCACGACAUGUUCACGGAGGGCGAACUGGCAUUGUGACACUAAUUUUUAUCAUUUGAGCAUCUUAAGUAAGUCUAAAACCACCCAAAUAGAGGUCCAAAGCCUCCUGGACUAUAGGUAUGGGAAGGGUAGUGCACGCAUAGGGUACGACCUAGAAUUGAAUUAAAAUGCUUUUGGGUAAACAACUUCAACAUAGUAAUCGGGUAGCAAGAGAUGAUAGUCUGUGCUCUCUGAAUAAUAUGAGCAACUCCACCUAAAGGUAAGUUACAAAGUAUAUCUAUGUUGCACGAGGUGAUCCUUUAGGCUAAAAAACUUAGAUCCCCCUCCUUUAUAUAUUUGAUAUCCAUACUUAGUCGUUUAAUAUUAACUAGUUUAAUUGUAUCCUUGUAGUCAUAAUUUCAUAUGUAUCUAUUUUUAUAUGUUAUAAUAAUACUCUUCAACUUCUAACCUCUCUUUAUUUGAUCACUUAGCCUAAUUACAUAAUCCCUAUAGUUUAAAGUUCGGUCAGGACCCACAAUUACGGACCCUGGAGAGGAGAAUGUGCAAUGCCUUAUCUCCGAGGUAAUUUGAGCCCUUACCCAAUAUUUGGGGACAUACUAGUUAAAGCAAAGUUACUUGAAAAUAGGUGCCUUAAUGCACCUUAAAAAUCAUUAGGUGGAUAUUUUUUUCUUUUAAUACCUAUUUAAAAGAGUUGUCACAUGCCAAAACCCGUUUUUGCGAGAAAAUGGGGGCGCGAUAGCAUGUCGAGUCUGCUAGGGAUGUACAUUUACGCUCUUACCAUAAUGAACUUAACUUCUGUGAAUUACUUUAUUUGAAAAAUGCACAUCACCUAUUCACAUUUAUUUGUUUAAAUUUUCUAUGACAUGUACAUCCCUUCUCUAUUUACCUUUAGAUUUUGCUACGAUAUCUUUCCCCUAUUUUCCUUUGAUUGCUAUGACCACUCUUCAUCUCUUUUCAUCUUGUCUAAAACUGCUAUAUCAUGCCUCUCCCAUCCCUACUUUAUUACUUACUUUAUUACAUUCAUGCAUAGUUUUUUAUGUACUAAACUGACUACUUUCUUUUGGCUUUCUUCUCUAUUUUUUCCAUGUUUAGUUUCGCUAUCUUAUUUACAAUUUUUUAUAUAUUCUAUCAUGCAAAUACUUGGCAAUAUGAUAUUAUUUAUGCAUAAAGCAUGCUCCACGUCAUACUUACUCGUUCCAAUUAUCAAUAUAGCGGCACACUUGAUGAGUGUCCGCGCUCUUCCAAAAUUACCUUGUUAAAUCGAAAAGGCUUAUUUGCGGUAGACUAGUUGCUCAGCAGGCAAUCGACGGUUACGUGCCUUUCCUCUCAAGUUGUCCACUUGGAGUACCAGUCUAGACCAUUCUAAAAACCUUACUCCAACACGAAAUGUACAUGCAUCAUGCUCUACCUAGUACGGGUUGGAGCGUUAUUAACGUUACAACCCGCUAUGAUGAACCUUGUACAAAGUCCGAUAAGAUUUCCACAAUCCCAAUAGACACUAUCAUAUUAUGUGCAUUACUUGGGAAAAAUGUGCCAACGUGUUGAUCAUUAUUGCAUAAGUAGUCAAAUCUGGAGAGAAAAAAGGAUAACCUUUGUUUCUUUGUAGAAAAUGAAGCAUGAAGACCCCAGGUUCAGUAUGGUCCAAAAUAUUCCACCUUUGCUACUUGACUGGUUGAAAGACCUUGCACCUUGUGACAAGAUUCAUGUGAGAAGAGUACUUGGUAACUUACCAUCUUUGAUAAACAUUUGAUCGAAUAGGGAAUUUAUUGAGGCCACUACCAUGUUUUGGGAUGAGAAAAGAGUCAUUUUUUAUUUGGCAAUAUAUAAAUGACUCCUCUCCUAGAAGAAAUAAGAGGCUUCUCCACGUUACCAUGUGAUAGUCCGAGAUUACUAGUACCAGAGAAUCGCACCCCGAGCGAUUUCUAAAUAUGUUGGGUUUUAAGAAAAAUGAUGAGUUGCUUUUUUAAGAAGUCAUACAUCCCUUUUGAAUUUAUUUAUGAGCGUUAUGGGCAUAUCAAGUUGUAACGUAUUCAUCAUGAUGAAAUUUCCACUACUUCUUUGGGCUGGACGUACCGUCGAGUUUAUGUGUUCAUCGUUUUCUUCUUAGGGUCAUUGAUAUUUCCAAUGAGGGGG
rnacentral:lncRNA from 1 species